ACGUAGGGGGCAAGCGUUGUACGGAUUUACUGGGUGUAAAGGGUGCUCAGGCGGGUUUGUAAGUCAGAGGUGAAACUCCGAAGCUUAACUUCGGAACUGCCUUUGAUACUGCAAUCCUGGAGUUUGAGAGAGGUGAGAGGAAUAUCUGGUGUAGCAGUGAAAUGCGGAAAUAUCAGAUAGAACACCAAUGGCGAAGGCGUCUCACUGGCACGAUACUGACACUAAAGCACGAAAGUUGGGGUAGCAAACAG
rnacentral:rRNA from 1 species